CAGCAGCCGCGGUAAUACGUAGGUGGCAAGCGUUGUCCGGAAUUAUUGGGCGUAAAGGGCUCGCAGGCGGUUUCUUAAGUCUGAUGUGAAAGCCCCCGGCUCAACCGGGGAGGGUCAUUGGAAACUGGGGAACUUGAGUGCAGAAGAGGAGAGUGGAAUUCCACGUGUAGCGGUGAAAUGCGUAGAGAUGUGGAGGAACACCAGUGGCGAAGGCGACUCUCUGGUCUGUAACUGACGCUGAGGCUCGAAGGCUAGGGUAGCGAAAGGGAUUAGAUACCCCUGUAGUCCUAGCAGUAAACGAUGUGCGCUUGGUGUGGGCAGGUUCGACCCUGUCUGUGCCGGAGCUAACGCGUUAAGCGCACCGCCUGGGGAGUACGGUCGCAAGACUAAAACUCAAAGAAAUUGACGGGGACCCGCACAAGCGGUGGAGUAUGUGGCUUAAUUCGAUGCAACGCGAAGAACCUUACCUAGGCUUGACAUGUAUUGCUAAUCUGCUGAAAGGCAGUGACCCUUCGGGGACCUUACACAGGUGCUGCAUGGCCGUCGUCAGCUCGUGUCGUGAGAUGUUCGGUUAAGUCCGGCAACGAGCGCAACCCCUGUGAUUAGUUACUAACAUUUAGUUGAGGACUCUAAUCAGACUGCCCAGAUCAACUGGGAGGAAGGUGGGGAUGACGUCAGGUCAGUAUGGCCCUUACGCCUAGGGCUGCACACGUACUACAAUGCCCAGUACAGUGAGAACCGAGACCGCGAGGUGGAGGAAAUCUACAAAACUGGGCUCAGUUCGGAUUGGAGGCUGCAACUCGCCUCCAUGAAGUUGGAAUCGCUAGUAAUGGCACAUCAGCUACGGUGCCGUGAAUACGUUCCCGGGUCUUGUACACACCGCCCGU
rnacentral:rRNA from 1 species